GGAAACUCUGCCCCGUCAACCUGCUCCAUCCCACCUACUCUGUUCCUGUCUAAUACAGUUCCCGCGGUGGGGAAGGGCAGUUGGGAGGCUCCUGCCAGUCGCUGCUCUGCCAAGCAGCGUCUAUUCACGGGUGACAGAGGGACUGGGGGCAUGCCAGCACUGGGCAUGCCCCCACAAUGACGGAAAAUAGGUGCGUGGCUCGCGAUCGUGGCACUCCUGUGAAGCCAUGCCCCCUUUUCAGCCGGAUGCGGCUUCGCCGAGCCAGGGAGUCCCUCGUUAUAAUCUUCCGAUGUUGGGAGAACUCAGAAGACAGCAGUAAAGGAUCAGAAUCAAUCUCCUUGGGCUGUAGAGUUAAAUAACCACAUACAGGAACAAGAUGUUUCCAUUGGUGCCGAUGACAUAGAUGUAAUUCUUAUUCAGCCCAGUGCAAGAAGAAUUCCUGUUAGAUACAGCAUGUUCCACAAUGCAAUCAAAUCUAGGCACAGCAAGUGUAGUCCUGAGAGACGUGUGCUUACAGGAUGUAAUUGCCUGGAAGCAGCUGGCUUCCCAGUACAGGCAUCCCCAGCAGGCGGGUCACUGAGUAUCACUCUAGAAUUUGGAUCUGCACUUUCUGAUCAAGGGAAAAGGAAAACUGAAGAAAUCCAAAGAAGCAGCACAACUCUACCAAAAGACACAGCCAAUGCUCCUGAUGCAGAAAGAUGUAUAGUCUGUAAUCCAGAUAUACAAUGCUGAGCAUACUAGUGCAAUUACGUGGUCACUAAAAUCAGCUCUAUAUAGAAAAAGAUGAUUUUAGAAGUCCUAAUAAAAAUGCUUGCCAUUGACUUUA